UACAGAGGUCCCAAGCGUUGUUCGGAUUCACUGGGCGUAAAGGGUGCGUAGGCGGUCGGGUAAGUCUGAUGUGAAAUCUCACAGCUUAACUGUGAAACUGCAUUGGAUACUAUUCGGCUUGAGAGUUGGAGGGGGGACUGGAAUUCUUGGUGUAGCAGUGAAAUGCGUAGAUAUCAAGAGGAACACCAGUGGCGAAAGCGGCUUCCUGGUCCAGCACCGACGUUCAGGCACGAAAGCGUGGGGAGCAAACAGG
rnacentral:rRNA from 1 species